UGGAUGAUAAUGUCUCUCUUGAGCGUAAAACCGAUAAUGUCUGUUUAUCAAAUUGAUUAUCAGGAUCCAAUUAACUAAGAGGGAGUUUGAAUUUCAAAGUCAUAAGAAUAGGACUUCCAGCUACAGAAAUGGAAGCAUUUAAUCUUCCUAGGGCAGUAAAAUUGAGGUAAUCAAGACAAAGUUCAGUUCUGUUGCAAGUCUUUAGUAUAUUUUGAAGAAUUCGCAUGACGUAACCAUACCUCUUUCGCACUUCAACAAGGUUUGUUAGGGUAAAUGUAAGGUUGAUGUAAUAUAGUUAGCAAUUAAUUUUAUAGGUAAAAUUGAGCUUUUUUAUGAGUUACUGUACUUCGCUUUUGAAAUCACAGCACCAUCUAACAUCGAUCAGCCACUAAAGAUGCUAAGAGUUUUAAAAGAUUGUUGAUUUGAUAGACAUUUCUGCUUUUAAGCAGUUUGCAGUGUAGAUCUUUCCCUGCUUGUUAUCUAUAUAUUGUGUGUAUUCUUAUAUUGUGAAACCAAUAUUAUUCUCAGAUUGUAUCAGCUGAAUAUCUGCAUCACUUCCUUUAUUUAUAGGACAGAAACUUGGAGGAGUGAGGACUUAAUUAUAUUAAGCCCUAGUCCACAUAGCAUUAAACAACCUCUCAAAAGCUGUCACAGUUGAAGGGUCUUCUUCAGAGAACAGCAAUUGGUUAAUGAUGGAUUAGGCAAAUUAAUUCUAUUCUAGAAAGGUCUCGCAGAGUUGCUAGAUAAUCUCUUUAGUUUUUAAGCUGCCCUCCUUUGAUGCACUAAUCUGGUAGGGAUUUUCUUUGACCUCCCUUAGACUUAUCACCCUUCAUCUAUAUUGUGUAGCUCGUGCACAUUAAUAUCUUUGUUCUUUUCAUGAUUUUCAUCAAUUUUGUAAGGUUCGUCGGUUGCAUAUUAAUCUGCUGUAGACUGAGGAAACACUGAUAAAAUAAGGCAUUAGGUUUGUGAAGACACACCUGAAUUUCUCAAAGAUUCCCAAGUAAUUAAGAAAAAAGUGAGGAGAAAACUAGGGUUCUUGAAAGAUAGAUAAAUAAAUGAGUACAGUUCAAAAAUGUGAUCCCACAUCUUGGGAAGACUUUUCUUGACUAGCUGAAUGAUACUCAGAAAAAAAAGGAAAAAAGAAAGAUAGAAAAGGGUACUGGAACACGUUAUUGUAAUCAUUUUAUCCUAAUACGGUAUUCAUACCUUAAACGAAUGGAGAAUAGGGGCAUGGUCCACUAUG